rnacentral:rRNA from 1 species
CAGUAAGGAAUAUUGGUCAAUGGACGCAAGUCUGAACCAGCCAUGCCGCGUGAAGGAUGAAGGUCCUCUGGAUUGUAAACUUCUUUUAUAUGGGAAGAAAUCCAUCUUUUCUUGGGUGGUUGACGGUACCAUAAGAAUAAGCACCGGCUAACUCCGUGCCAGCAGCCGCGGUAAUACGGAGGGUGCAAGCGUUAUCCGGAUUCACUGGGUUUAAAGGGUGCGUAGGAGGGCAGGUAAGUCAGUGGUGAAAUCUCCAAGCUUAACUUGGAAACUGCCGUUGAUACUAUCUGUCUUGAAUACCGUGGAGAUGAGCGGAAUAUGUCAUGUAGCGGUGAAAUGCUUAGAUAUGACAUAGAACACCAAUUGCGAAGGCAGCUCGUUACACGAAUAUUGACUCUGAGGCACGAAAGCGUGGGGAUCAAACAGGAUUAGA